AUGGCAACAUUUCUGCCAGGAAACAUUUUGUCAUACUAAAUAGGAUCUUCGUAUUUUGGGUAACAAGUGACAGGAUAAGGUGGGGAGACAUGAGGGGAACCCAUAUGCUAGGCUUAUGAAAAAAGAUGAUGUUGAUAAAAACAGCAUUAGAACAUUUUCUGUAUGUCUUUAGAAAUUGGUGUGGCUGUCAGAUGGUGUUGGUUCAUGUUUGUUGAAGGUCAAGAAUAGUACUGCUUCGGAAAGGGAACAGCAAACUUCAUGGAUGAGUAAGAGGAAAUGCAGACUUUCUUGUUCGAAGACUACUUGGAAAGCAGGCUAUUCGCAAGUGACAGGAUAAGGUGGAGAGACUUGAGGGGAACCCAUAUGCUAGGCUUAUGAAAAACGAUGAGGUUGAUAAAAACAACAUUAGAACAUUUUCUGUAUGUCUUUAGAAAUUGGUGUGGCUGUCAGAUGGUGUUGGUUCAUGUUUGUUGAAGGUCAAGAAUAGUACUGCUUCGGAAAGGAAACAACAAACUUCAUGGAUGAGUAAGAGGAAAUGCAGACUUUCUUGUUCGAAGACUACUUGGAAAGCUGGCUAUUCGCCCUCUAACACAGCUUUCUAGGCAUACACUUGGAAUUGCUGAUUUCAAGCGACAAGAGAUGAUGCC
rnacentral:lncRNA from 1 species